AUUGAACGCUGGCGGCAUGCUUUACACAUGCAAGUCGAACGGUAACAGGUUAAGCUGACGAGUGGCGAACGGGUGAGUAAUGCAUCGGAACGUGCCCGGUCGUGGGGGAUAACGCAGCGAAAGCUGCGCUAAUACCGCGUACGAUCUGAGGAUGAAAGCGGGGGACCGUAAGGCCUCGCGCGGUCGGAGCGGCCGAUGUCAGGUUAGGUAGUUGGUGGGGUAAAGGCUCACCAAGCCGACGAUCUGUAGCUGGUCUGAGAGGACGACCAGCCACACUGGGACUGAGACACGGCCCAGGCUCCUACGGGAGGCAGCAGUGGGGAAUUAUGGACAAUGGGUGCAAGCCUGAUCCAGCAAUGCCGCGUGCAGGAAGAAGGCCUUCGGGUUGUAAACUGCUUUUGUACGGAACGAAAAGGUUUGGCAUAAUAAGCUGAGCUCAUGACGGUACCGUAAGAAUAAGCACCGGCUAACUACGUGCCAGCAGCCGCGGUAA
rnacentral:rRNA from 1 species